rnacentral:tmRNA from 1 species
GGGGCUGUUCUGGAUUCGACAGGAUAGUUCGAGUUUGAUAAGCAUGCGAUCGGCAGAUCUAAAAAUGUACCAGUAAAUAUAACUGGAAACCAAAAUUACGCUUUCACUGCUUAAGAAGAAGUAGUGGGUUUGAAUUGACCAGCCUACGGGUCUAUUUAAACUUCAGCUCAGUAGGAUAGUUCCAACACUGCAGUCAUAAGUGGAAAGGCGAACUCAAUAGGACUAGUUGCUUCGAGUGGUUGUUUCGUAACAGCUUGGCAAUGAAAUUUUUAUGGAACUAAGCAUGUAGAAAAUCAAAUGAUCGGCUGUUUUGGACCGGGGUUCAAAUCCCCGCAGCUCCACCA